UAUCGAUACUCAGAUGCUAAUCAUUGUAAUCAGUAAGUAUUUUCGUUCUUGUAAUGAUCGCUGGAUUUUACUCAAGUUAGAAAUGGACCACAAUACCAUGGAGAUUUAUGAUUUGAAGAGUCAAACCACAGUGAUAGCAAUGCCUUGGUUAUACCACCAUACAGACCAUGCAUUGCAUCAAUUGAAACACUUUUAACAAAGUCAAAAUGAGGAAAACAGGACAUAAUGGAUAAUUCUUGAAUCCCAUGUAUCUGUUAAUUGUACAGAGAGAAGAAAUAAUAGAGAAAAGAAUCUGAAGGACAUGCUUAAAAAUGCAAGCCAUAAAUAACUUUAUCAGUGUGACUAAUUUAAACUU